GUAUUACACCAUAGCAGACACACAUCGAUCAGAUUUUCUACUUAUAUUUUGUCAAUCAUUGAUUUAUUUCCAGAGUCUCCUAAAGGAAAAGUUAAGAAGCAAGAACUUGUGGUGUCCAACGGGAAGGUCAAACCAGCUGUUGUAAAGAAAGAAGCUGUUGUCUCUGAAGAAAAGACAAAACCUUCCACAACAAAGAAAGAUCCUGUGGAAAAAGGCAAGGACAAAAUAACUCCUACAAAGAAAGAGCCUGCAAUCUCCAAAGAAAAAGUCAAGGCAACCACUAGCAAGACAACCACACCCACUACCAAGAAAGUUGUUUUAGAACCCGAGCCCCCUAAAGAAAAAACCACUCCAAGAGUCCCCACUAUGAGGAAAGGUAACCACACAAAUGUAGUGGUGCCAAUGGUCAAAGCCACCGCAAGAGUUGUCGCUAUAAGACCCAUAUCUACAAAAAAAGGUCCUGCGAUGAAGGAGAAGCUAACUAACGCACCUGAAGCAGCAAAACAGAAACCGAAAGCGGCAGAGAAACAAAAAGACAAGGUGAAGGAUGAGAAGACAUCAGACGCCAAAGCUAAAGCUACACAUUCUGUGAAGACUGCCCAGCCCACUAAACCUCUAAGUAAAUAUUCGAUCCCGAAGCAAGACAUGUCCUUUGUUUUGAUAAGCAGGUCAAUUCCUGUCUUUUGUUUGUUUACCACGUGAAUCCAUGUAGGGCUUAAUGCUUUCCUUAUCUUGCAUAAAACUGGAGAAGCCACAAAGGAGUGGUUUCAAGGGUUUGAAUACACCUGUCAUGCUAAAUAGC
rnacentral:lncRNA from 1 species